GAUGCCCGCUUUCUUCUUUCCUAAUACAUGCCAGUCGAGCGAACAGACGAGGAGCUUGCUCCUCUGACGUUAGCGGCGGACGGGUGAGUAACACGUGGAUAACCUACCUAUAAGACUGGGAUAACUUCGGGAAACCGGAGCUAAUACCGGAUAAUAUAUUGAACCGCAUGGUUCAAUAGUGAAAGACGGUUUUGCUGUCACUUAUAGAUGGAUCCGCGCCGCAUUAGCUAGUUGGUAAGGUAACGGCUUACCAAGUCAACGAUGCGUAGCCGACCUGAGAGGGUGAUCGGCCACACUGGAACUGAGACACGGUCCAGACUCCUACGGGAGGCAGCAGUAGGGAAUCUUCCGCAAUGGGCGAAAGCCUGACGGAGCAACGCCGCGUGAGUGAUGACGGUCUUCGGAUCGUAAAACUCUGUUAUUAGGGAAGAACAAAUGUGUAAGUAACUAUGCACGUCUUGACGGUACCUAAUCAGAAAGCCACGGCUAACUACGUG
rnacentral:rRNA from 1 species